rnacentral:rRNA from 1 species
AUACGUAGGGUGCAAGCGUUAAUCGGAAUUACUGGGCGUAAAGCGUGCGCAGGCGGUUUUGUAAGACAGAGGUGAAAUUCCCGGGGGCAACCUGGGAAAUGCCUUUGUGAAUGCAAGGCUAGAGGACGGCAGAGGGGGAUGGAAUUACGCGAGGAGCAGGGAAAUGCGUAGAUAUUCGGAGGAACACCGAUGGCGAAGGCAAUCCCCUGGGCCUGUACUGACGCUCAUGCACGAAAGCGUGGGGAGCAAACAGGAUUAGAUACCCUGGUAGUCCACGCCCUAAACGAUGUCAACUGGUUGUUGGGUCUUCAUUGACUCAGUAACGAAGCUAACGCGUGAAGUUGACCGCCUGGGGAGUACGGCCGCAAGGUUAAAACUCAAAGGAAUUGACGGGG